CCGGGAAUGGCACAAAACUGGAAGUUCACGGUUCAGGUCAGAAACCGGAGAAUCAAACUGCAAGAGAAGGGUGUGUUCAUUUUACUGCGCCCCAGCAAGAACAUAUGGCUUUGAUAGUGGGUCUGCCUCUUCUGUUCCUGCUGACACUGAGCGUGCUCAUCAUCUGCUACUUCAAAAGGC